rnacentral:rRNA from 1 species
UACGUAGGGUGCGAGCGUUAAUCGGAAUUACUGGGCGUAAAGGGUGCGCAGGCGGUUCUGCAAGUCAGGCGUGAAAUCCCCGGGCUUAACCUGGGAAUGGCGCUUGAAACUACGGGACUGGAGUAUGGCAGAGGGAGGUGGAAUUCCACGUGUAGCGGUGAAAUGCGUAGAGAUGUGGAGGAACACCGAUGGCGAAGGCAGCCCCCUGGGUCAACACUGACGCUCAUGCACGAAAGCGUGGGGAGCAAACAGG